GAGGUGGACUAAGCGGUUAGCGCGUCUGCCUCAAUUGCGGGAGGUCCUGGGUUCGAACCCCAGCCGAGUCA